GAUCCUGGCUUAGGAUGAACGCUGGCGGCGUGCUUAACACAUGCAAGUCGAACGGAGUUUUAAACGGAAGUUUUCGGAUGGAAGUUUAAGAACUUAGUGGCGGACGGGUGAGUAACGCGUGGGUAACCUGCCUCAUACAGGGGGAUAACAGUUAGAAAUGACUGCUAACACCGCAUAAUAUAGUGAAACCGCAUGAUUUUGCUAUCAAAUAUUUAUAGGUAUGAGAUGGGCCCGCGUCUGAUUAGCUAGUUGGUGGGGUAAAAGCCUACCAAGGCGACGAUCAGUAGCCGGCUUGAGAGAGUGACCGGCCACAUUGGGACUGAGACACGGCCCAAACUCCUACGGGAGGCAGCAGUGGGGAAUAUUGGACAAUGGGGGAAACCCUGAUCCAGCGAACCGCCGCGUGAGUGAAGAAGUAUUUCGGUAUGUAAAGCUCUAUCAGCAGGGAAGAUAAUGACAGUACCUGACUAAGAAGCCCCGGCUAACUACGUGCCAGCCGCAGC
rnacentral:rRNA from 1 species